rnacentral:rRNA from 1 species
CCGGGGGUCGCGGCCAGCCUGCCCCGCCCUAGCUACGUGCGACGACGAUACGAUGAGAGACAUCCGGACCGGCCAGCCGUCCGAUUCCGCGGGUUGCUCCGAGAUUCGGGACCGGCGCCGGCCGGGCCGGCCGACACGCGUCACGGGCAUACCACAAGCUUGUUUACGGAGUCGCCGGUCGCCCCGCGGCCGUCGGCUCGGCUGGCACGAUCGCUGACGUGGUCACCGCGAUCGGUGGAUCGAUGGCACCGGUCACUGGACCUCCCACCUCGGGAAGUGGCAACCGGUAAUUGACGGCACGCGAUUACCGGCCUCUUCUCCGUUCUGUGAGCUCCGCGGUCCCCCUCCAGCCUCCACUGAAGCGGCCUCAGUUCGCCUACUACUACCAUCAACCAUUAUGAAGGCCCAAAACGCUACUACCAAUCAGUUCGUCAGUUGUGUGGGAGAGGCCGAACGGUAGCGAUAGGUGUCUAAGGCAAAGUGACGGAGGACCAUGGUAUGGUACAUAAGAUGACCGAUUAAGGACGAAUAGAUACGCAAGGUUUGGUUUAACAAGUCGUCGGGUCGAGCUACGGCCCCAUAAAUUGACAACUCCACGCACAAACAAGUAAUGAAAACAUCAUUAAGGUUUCGCCAGGACUCCUCUAGUAUAUAAGGGAACAAAUUAGACCUACGGCUGACAAAGAACUAUACUGACCCUGGUUGAGGUUGGAUUACUCGAUAGUCUACUACUAGUAUCGGAGUGGUAACGACACCCCAGGAUCGAACAAAGAAAGGAUAUACAAAUUGACUGAAGUGGCCAGAGGGGGGAGGAAACAAGUGACAGGUGUGGUGGCAAGUGUGGUAAUGUCUGCGACCUUCUUGAGUCGACAGAAACUUCGUGUGUUCCACAGGCAGCAUCAGACUCGUCGUCGGCAGCGAGACCUAUGUUCGAGUUUCGGCGUUGGAGUCGAUCCGAUUGUCCCGUCGGUAAGGUUCGCUCGUUGACUCGUAACGUUUCGAAAGGGUAAAGUCAAUUAGAAUGAUCAAUGGGACUAGACCCAUGUACGAGUUUGGACGUUGGAGCCGAUCCCCGACUACAUACUAUCGAGUAAGUCACACUGACAGAUACACUCCUCGUGACGUAGCGGCGAAAGGAGAAAGUCCGUACUAAGAGUCAAAGAGAAGGACACGAGCGAAGAAUCUGUACCUACGUAACAAAGGUC